UUUUAAUAUAUUGAUACAACUUUUAUUUAGUAGAACAAUUUUUUCGUAUGAUAAUUGGAAUCCUAAAUAUGUCGAAAUAUGUCUUAGAUGAAGUUUAAANUGUAACUUUCACUUGAAAUAGUUACAUGCAUUGAUUAAAAUUUUGCUAAUUAUAUUUACAUGUAGACGCAUGCGACUUAUCAGUAAAUGUUGAUGAAAAAAUUAGUAAAUUUGUAAUAUUAUAUGCAUUUUAUCAAAGUUACAUUUCGAUGUGAACGUUAAUCAUCUAUCUGACCCGUUUUGAAACACGGACCAAGGAGUCUAACAUAUACGCAAGUUAUUGGAUAGUAAACCUGUUAAUAAAAGCAUAAUGAAAGAAAAGAUUAUCUUUGGCAUAAUUGAUAUGUGAUCUAUAUAUGUAUAUGUAAAAAAUUUAUACAUGGCGUAAUAUAAUAACGUUCAUGUUGCAUGCAAUAGGACAUAGACAGAGCGUAUGUGCUGGGACCCGAAAGAUGGUGUACGAUACCUGAGCAGGGUAAAGCCAAAGGAAAUUCUGGUAGAGAUCCGAAGCAAUUCUGACGAGCAAAUUGAUCGUCUAGCUUUGGUAUAGGGGGC
rnacentral:ncRNA from 1 species